UGUAAAGACAGGCAAAGUAAGAUCUAACGGGAUGCAGGAAAACCCUAUACAAAUCGUAAGGGUCAAGAAAAGCUGUCCAAAAGAGGUAUGUGGAAGAACUGUAUAUCAAACAAUCAAGCUAGCUAUUUAUAGAGUACAGUAACUAACAUGAAUGUUCUGGGUUGUCUAAUUUGUAACUAUAGAGAAAACAUAUUAGCUGAAGUUCGUUGGCUACUAACUUAUACAUUAUCGUUACAAAUGUUAUUGCUAGAUUAUAGAAGAAACAUAGCUAGCUACUUUUUCUCCAUCCACCGGAUGAUUCGACGUGGCUACAGUAGCUAGCUAGUUAUAUGUAACAUUACACUGUAUCCUGCAGGGAUUGCACACCGAGGGUCCAUUGAGGUGGCAAGCUGCAUAUUGAAGUGGGUGAAGACAAAAUUCACGGCACUCACCAAACCAGAGGUGCGCAAGUUGAUCACCUUCAGUGACAGAUGCUGUGGGCAGAAUAACAACUGGCUCAAUCUGAUGUCAAUGCUCGUCUCUAUGGGUUACUUUACCCAAGUUGAGCAGAAGUUCAUGGUCGGGCUCCUGGGUGGCGCAGUGGUCUCGGGCACUGCAUCGCAGCGCUAGCUGUUCCACCAGAGACUCUGGGUUCGCGCCCAGGCUCUCGCAGCCGGCCACGACUGGCAGGUCCGUGGGGCGAUGCACAAUUGGCCUAGCGUCGUCCGGGGUAAGGGAGGGUUUGGCCGGCGACUCCUGUGGUAGGCCGGGCGCAGUGCACGUAACCAAGGUCUCCAGGUGCACGGUGUUUCCUCCGACACAUUGGUGCGGCUGGCUUCCGGGUUGGAUAUGCGCCGUGUUAAGAAGCGUGCGGCUUGGUUGGGUUGUGUUUCGGAGGACGCGUGGCUUUCGACUUUCGUCUCUCCCGAGCCCGUACGUGAGUUGUAGCGAUGGACACCACAAAAUUGGGGAGAAAAGGGGAUUUUAAAAAAAGAAGUCAUUCUUUUUCUUCCUUGUGAUCGAUCUUUAGCCACCAUCGAGAAGAGGCGCAAGGUGUCAGUCCUUCAUACACCUGAUUAUGUUUCAAAGAUGAUACUUGAAGCACAACCAGCAAAACCAUUCAAGGUGAUGAGGAUGCAAUGUGAAGACUUCAGGCACCUCCCAGAUUCUGUCCCCCAGCUGGACUACAGAUGACCUCAGUGAGGUGGUUAAAAGUCAGUUGAGGAUCCUUGGAAUCUGUACGCCAGACAGAGCCACAGUCUAUUCGAAGGAUGGAAAUCGUGGCUGAUCUCCAAAUCAAAACAAGGAGCUACACCUCAACCUCCCUAUUUUGCAAGCCACUACCCUAGAGCAUAUAAGAGUCCUCUGCCCAUCAAAAAAAAACAAGUACCAAGAUCUGAUGACCUGCUCAACUACUUGCCAGCUGCUGCACGCUCUUUUUAUAAAUCACUGCAGAGUGAAUAAUUUGUUAAACCAUGCAACAUAAUUAACUGUUUUUCCUGUGAGUUUAUGAUCCCCUGAACCUGUAUAGUAUGUUGAAUCUGAAUACAUUUCAGUAGACAUGUCACCCCUAUUGUAGGAAAUUAAAUGUAUAGUAAGUAGGUGUUUUCUAUGUGAAUCAAUUUGUGCAUGAUUUGAACCAGCACAAUAUAUUGAAUUUAAUUUUAAGAUGUUGUUCCUAGUGUAUAAAAUGUUAUGUACAAUGUGUUCUGUUGAGAAUUAUUUUGUGAACCUUUUUUAAUUUGAACCUUUUUUAAUCUGAAUGAAUUAAAAACAUAAGUCGUCA